GACGAACGCUGGCGGCGUGCCUAAUACAUGCAAGUCGAGCGGAAGUUGGAGAGCUUGCUCUUCAACUUUAGCGGCGGACGGGUGAGUAACACGUGGGCAACCUGCCCUGCAGAUCGGGAUAACUCCGGGAAACCGGUGCUAAUACCGAAUAGUUUUCGCCACCUCCUGGUGGCGUACGGAAAGACGGUUUCGGCUGUCACUGCAGGAUGGGCCCGCGGCGCAUUAGCUAGUUGGUGGGGUAACGGCCCACCAAGGCGACGAUGCGUAGCCGACCUGAGAGGGUGAUCGGCCACACUGGGACUGCGACACGGCCCAGACUCCUACGGGAGGCAGCAGUAGGGAAUCUUCCGCAAUGGACGAAAGUCUGACGGAGCAACGCCGCGUGAGUGACGAAGGUUUUCGGAUCGUAAAACUCUGUUGUGAGGGAAGAACAAGUACCAACUAACUACUGGUACCUUGACGGUACCUCACCAGAAAACCACGGCUAACUACGUGCCAGCCGCCGCCGUAACAC
rnacentral:rRNA from 1 species